rnacentral:lncRNA from 1 species
GAAGAGGAGAGACUCUGCAGCACCUUGGUAUGCGCCAUCCCCAAUAUGGACACAAAUGAAAGAAACAGGCUUCCACAGCCUUCUCAGGCCAGGGUCCAAGCCAAGCAGUUGUUUGAUUUUUCCUUCACAAGUAGGUGAGGAGGUCACCAGGUUUGAAUCUUUACUUUGAUCUGACAUGGUUUGAAUUUUAUGCCCUGCUCUGUAAUCACUCUAGCUUUUCAGUAUUCCAGAGAUAUGCUUAGUAUUCAAAUUUUAAUAGGAAACUCUGGGCCCAAGGUACAGCGAUGGAUUAACCACAAAUAAACCUUUAUUUAGAACUGUUCACUGGCCUAAGAAACAUGUAAUGAAGAAUCCAUCUACCCUUAGUGCCAGCAAGUGCCCCAGACGCUGACCUGUACUCUUGUCAUCACAGUGCCUAGUGAGACUGCUCAGGACAAGGUUGCCUUCCCAUGCUCCUUCAGCAACCUCGAGGCACUUCGGAGGGCCCUGCAUUGCUGACUCGACUGUCCCCAGCUUUUAAAUAUAUCAUGCUCUUGAAGCCCAUUUGGAAGUUUGUUUUUGUUUUUUGUUUUUUUUUUUAAGGAGAACUGAAUAUAAAUGGUAUUUGGGUUCAGUCCACAACUGUUAGCUCAUGCAUCUUUUAGGUAUGUGUGGGAGGGUAGUUGUAAAGUCCUCAUGUGGUUUUAACUAAAUAUAAUUAUCGGCAAGAUAAAACAGCUCGCAAAAUCACUUUAAAGGUGAGCCUGGUUCUCACUCCUGUCAUGUGAUGUUGGGAUCUGUUGCCACUGAAGAGAAUUCCCCUUUGUAUUUGGUAGCUGGGUUUUGUUGUUACUGUUGUUAUCUUAACACCAGAAGUUUUAAAAGGGACCGAAUGCUAUAUAUAAUAUAAUCUUCCAGUUUAAUAGAGUAGAUUUUUAUAGUUAUUUAAGGAUUGUUUAUAGAUGAGGUUGGCAAAAAUCUAAAAAGCCCAAGGACUUUGUGAAGACUUCAUGUAAGGAAGACUAUAGAUUACCAUUUUAAAAAUAAUGUUCUUGCCAUGAAAAAGCAUAUUCUUAGUUUAUAAUAUGAGAAACUGUGGUUCCAUGAUCUAGUAAGAAGUCAGUAACGCCGUGGGAAGCCUGGGUGGCCUUCCCACUUAGGAGAAGAACCCUGGCGCUGUCGCCCUGGGCUGAGACAGCUCAUAUGCUAGAGCCGUGCCCCUCCAGUCAUCCCCCUCCAGUUAGGCCUGGCUAGUGUUUGGAGGGAGCUCUGCGGUCUUGCUGUGCUUCUGUGGUCACUUGUGCUGGGUGUGGAGGGAGAUCUCAUCCACUCCCUCACUGUCGCUAACUGGCUACCUCCUUAUGCAUGUUGGCAAUUUUUAGCACCUGAUACAUACAUCAAAGUGGUACGUUUUGUUUUUACCCAUGAUCCGCUAUCUAAAAAUUUUCCUCCAACCCCCACCUUGGGGUUAGUGGACUCAUGGAAGGCCUCUGUUGUCAAAGCCUCAGUUUAACCCCCCAGAUCCGGCAUAAGGCACAAACCAUGUAGAAGCUGGUAGGUAGGUCUUAAAUUCUUGUCUCCCCAGUUCUCAGAUUCAAAACUCAAGGCUUUUUCACUGACCAGCAUAUCAUAUGACUACACAUCAAAUUAGUCAAAAUAGCAUGCUUGAAAAAAUAUGCCUGUUUUGCUUGUAGCAGUCUAGCCCGCGGGAGCCUUCCAGAUCUGUAUGUGGGUGGGGCUCUGAUGUAGCACUUUACGUUUUCUUGCUGCUGCUGUUGGUUUAUUCUACUGAAAUAAAUGAUUUCAUCAAGCUUCUCAGUG